AUUGAACGCUGGCGGCAGGCCUAACACAUGCAAGUCGAGCGAGUGGCGGACGGGUGAGUAAUGUAUGGUGAACUGCCUGAUAGAGGGGGAUAACUACUGGAAACGGUGGCUAAUACCGCAUACUAUCUGAUGUACCCAUAUGGGAUUAGCUAGUAGGUGGGGUAAAGGCUCUCCUAGGCGACGAUCCCUAGCUGGUCUGAGAGGAUGAUAAGCAACACCGGCACCUGGACACGGCCCAGGCUGCUUCGUCGGGAGCGAGUGGUGAGUAUAGCACAAUGGGCGCUAGCCUAUGGCAGCGAUGCCGCGGGUAUGAAGAAGGCCUUCGUGUUGUACAAUACUUGCAGCGUGUAGUCGGCACCCGCAGACGCAGCCCCGGCUAACUCCGUGCCAGCCGCCGCGGUAAUUC
rnacentral:rRNA from 1 species